rnacentral:rRNA from 1 species
AACGAACGCUGGCGGCAGGCCUAACACAUGCAAGUCGAGCGCCCCGCCAGGGGAGCGGCGGACGGGUGAGUAACGCGUGGGAAUAUGCCCUUUGCUACGGAAUAGUCUCGGGAAACUGGGGGUAAUACCGUAUAUGCCCUUUGGGGGAAAGAUUUAUCGGCGAAGGAUUAGCCCGCGUUGGAUUAGGUAGUUGGUGGGGUAAUGGCCUACCAAGCCGACGAUCCAUAGCUGGUUUGAGAGGAUGAUCAGCCACACUGGGACUGAGACACGGCCCAGACUCCUACGGGAGGCAGCAGUGGGGAAUCUUAGACAAUGGGGGCAACCCUGAUCUAGCCAUGCCGCGUGAGUGAUGAAGGCCUUAGGGUUGUAAAGCUCUUUCAGCUGGGAAGAUAAUGACGGUACCAGCAGAAGAAGCCCCGGCUAACUCCGUG